GACGAACGCUGGCGGCGUGCUUAACACAUGCAAGUCGAACGGAAAGGCCCUGCUUUUGUGGGGUGCUCGAGUGGCGAACGGGUGAGUAACACGUGAGUAACCUGCCCUUGACUUUGGGAUAACUUCAGGAAACUGGGGCUAAUACCGGAUAGGAGCUCCUGCUGCAUGGUGGGGGUUGGAAAGUUUCGGCGGUUGGGGAUGGACUCGCGGCUUAUCAGCUUGUUGGUGGGGUAGUGGCUUACCAAGGCUUUGACGGGUAGCCGGCCUGAGAGGGUGACCGGCCACAUUGGGACUGAGAUACGGCCCAGACUCCUACGGGAGGCAGCAGUGGGGAAUAUUGCAGAAUGAGCGGAAGCCUGGUGCAGCAACACCGCGUGCGGGAUGACGGCCUUCGGGUUGUAAACCGCUUUCGCAUGUGACGAAGCGUGAGUGACGGUAAUGGGUAAAGAAGCACCGGCUAACUACGUG
rnacentral:rRNA from 1 species